rnacentral:lncRNA from 1 species
GUGGACUGCAUCAUUUCUCCUAGUCUAAUAUUCUAAGACUUGCAGGAUGAUAAUUUAGGUUGAGCUGGGUAAAGUCAGCUUCUACUAUAAUCUCUAAGAAGAUUCCAGUAACAUGUGGAGGAAUCAUGUGGUAAGCAGACUAUGCUGGCACCAGUAGGGAACUGCAUUGUACUUCGCCCUCACCUCACUCCCUCCUCUCUCAAGAUCAAGGCCAUUUUAUUUGAGCCAUAAAGGUCAGCCAGCAAAUUUUAUACAUGGCAGGUGGCGGGCUUUGUAAAGGUGGCAUUAUUUGCCACUCCUAACAUGGUAGUAAUAAUCAAGACCGGCUGGAUUAUAGAUGUGACAAAUAGCUCUCAAACUCUGCUUAAAACACAGGUUUAUUUCUCUCUCACGGAUGCUGUCUGUGGGCUCUGUUGUGCAUCAUCUUUAUUCUUGGAUGCAGGCUGCGAGAGCAAGCAGGUCUUCAGUAUAGCAAACGGGAAAAAAGGAACGGUGAAUCAUACUCUGGCAUUUAAAGCUUCUUCCCAUAAUACAACUGAAAGGAAAGUACAUGGUUACUUACUGGCAGCAAAGAAAAGAUGGAAGGGCAGAAGUCUACCAGUGUAGCUCUGAUUCUCUUUGCUACCCAAAGACAAAACUUCAAGGCAUGUUAUAAAAAGAAAAAAGGAAGAACGUAGGAAGCCUUAUUAUCUUCUUUUAUUGACUUCACAUUGAAUAUGGUCAUUUGCAGACUUAUUUUGGAGUUUCUCCAUCUCAUAUUCCAAGGACAGCCAAAUGACUUAAUACAAACGCUCCCGAAGUAUUAUUAGUCAUCGGUUUUGAAAUUUUCCUUUCAACAGUGUUCUCUAGACAAGUCAUUUAAUUUUCAUACUUUAAUUUUUUCAUUUUCUGAAUACUAGGACUAUGACUGUUUUUAUGGGACGAAGUGAAAGUCCAUCAAAUUUUAUUCAAAAUAGAUUUGAAUUUUUUAAAUGAAAGUAUGAAGACUAUAUUACAUACAGCAUUGUUUUAUGUAAUGACAAUAUAA